UACAUUAGAUACCCGGGUAGUCCUAGGCGUAAAUGAUGCGAGUUAAGUGUGGGGGCAUCUACGAGAUGGCCCUGUGCUGUAGGGUAGCCGUUAAACUCGCUGCCUGGGGAGUACGGUCGCAAGGCUGAAACUUAAAGGAAUUGGCGGGGGAGCACCGCAACGGGAGGAGCGUGCGGUUCAAUUGGAUUCAACGCCGGACAACUCACCAGGAGCGACGGUUACAUGAAGGCCAGGCUGAUGACCUUGCCUGAUUUUCCG
rnacentral:rRNA from 1 species